rnacentral:rRNA from 1 species
UACAGAGGGUGCAAGCGUUAAUCGGAAUUACUGGGCGUAAAGCGUGCGUAGACGGUUACAUAAGUCGGGUGUGAAAGCCCCGGGCUCAACCUGGGAAUUGCAUUCGAGACUGCGUAGCUAGGGUGCGGAAGAGGGAAGCGGAAUUUCCGGUGUAGCGGUGAAAUGCGUAGAUAUCGGAAGGAACACCAGUGGCGAAAGCGGCUUCCUGGUCCAGCACCGACGUUCAGGCACGAAGCGUGGGGAGCGAACAGG